GGGAUCAGUGGCGAACGGGUGAGUAACACGUGGGCAACCUGCCCUCAGCUCUGGGAUAACUCCAAGAAAUUGGGGCUAAUACCGGAUAUGACCGCUGACCGCAUGGUCUGGUGGUGGAAAGAUUUAUCGGCUGGGGAUGGGCCCGCGGCCUAUCAGCUUGUUGGUGGGGUAGUGGCCUACCAAGGCGACGACGGGUAGCCGGCCUGAGAGGGUGACCGGCCACACUGGGACUGAGACACGGCCCAGACUCCUACGGGAGGCAGCAGUGGGGAAUAUUGCGCAAUGGGCGAAAGCCUGACGCAGCGACGCCGCGUGGGGGAUGACGGCCUUCGGGUUGUAAACCUCUUUCAGCAGGGACGAAGCGAAAGUGACGGUACCUGCAGAAGAAGCACCGGCCAACUACGUGCCAGCAGCCGCGGUAAUACGUAGGGUGCAAGCGUUGUCCGGAAUUAUUGGGCGUAAAGAGCUCGUAGGCGGUUUGUUGCGUCGGCUGUGAAAACCUGAGGCUCAACCUCAGGCCUGCAGUCGAUACGAGCAGACUAGAGUGUUGCAGGGGAGACUGGAAUUCCUGGUGUAGCGGUG
rnacentral:rRNA from 1 species